UCAAGCCAAGAACCUGUCAUUUGGAGCUCCAGUCACCUGAAUAGGUCAUCAAGCAUCCCAGAAUGAUAAUUUUGGGCAAUCUGCAUUGUGGUCACCAGAGAUGUCCAGAAUGGCUAGUGUAUUUCCAGCCUCCCAAACUAUUUGGAUCUCCAGUUUUGGAGGCUGGAAUGCCAGCAUCAAGGUGCCUCUUUCUGGCACCUUCUGGCUCCUCCUCACUGUGUGCUUCCAUGUCACAAGUGAGAAUGCUGAGGUAUGAAGUAGCAUGGACGGUACCAGAAGCUUUGAUGGGAGAACUGCCAAUGUAAAAGUACAAGGGCCUUCCGACUCAGAGUGGAAUUAAAUCAUCAGCUCUCCGGGGUCUCCAGCUUGCAAACUCACCCUGCAGAUCUUGGGACUUACCGGCCUCCAAAAUCAUGUGAGUCAAUUCCAUA